CAUCUUGUGGUUGAUGCCACACUCAGGAAAGGAGCGGACGGAAACCCAGGCAAUGGCACAGAGGUCAACAAGUGUAUGAAUAAAGCACUUUUUCCUUCAAUACUGAAAGUUUGACCAAUCGAAUUGCACCUGGAACUCAACACUUGGCAUCUUGCCUUUAAAAUGAGAAAAUAUGAGAAAAAUGAUGAGUCAGCGUACAGGGGAGGCACAAUGGCUAACGGACUGGUGCAGAGCCAGCGUACAGAGGCAGCAUACAGAGCCAGCAUACAGAUUCAGCGUAUAGAGGAGGCGCAGCGGCUAAUGGACUGGUACAGAGCCAGCGUACAGAGUCAGCGUACAGAGGAGGCGCAAUGGCUAACAGACUGGUACAGAGCCAGCGUACAGAGGAGGUGUACAGAAGAGGCGCAGCGGCUAACAGACUGGUGCAGAGCCAGCGUACAGAGUCAGCGUACAGAGGAGAUGUACAGAAGAGGCGCAGCGGCUAACAGAUGGUGCGGAGCCAACAACCUGCCUCUGAAUGUGGACAGGACGAAAGAGAUGGUUGUUGACUUCAAGAGAGCAUGGAGUGAGCACUGUCCGCUGGACAUUGACUGCUUCCCAUGGAGAUCGUGAAGAGCACUAAAUUUCUUGGCAUACACCUGGCAGAGAAUCUCACCUGGACCCUCCCACAACACGAGCUCCACAGCCAAGAAAGCCCAGCAGCAUCUCUACUUUCUGCAUUGUCUGAGAAAAGUCCAUGUUCCUCCUGCACCCCCCCACACACACACACUCACACACACUCACACACCUCCAUU